CGGUUCACUGCACCCUCCACCUCCCAGGUUCAAGCAAUUCUCCUGCCUCAGCCUCCUGACGCGUGCUCUAUGGCUGGUCACAACGUGGAAGGGACUGGAGUGUUUGCAGCCUGAGGAGUUGCUUCUGUAGAGGAGGAGAUCUGGAGUGUCGCCUUCUGGAUCCGAGUGGCCCUGCUUAUUCAUAAGGAUGGAAAUGACUUGGUAAAUAUUCCAUUUCUGCCAAGAUGCCCACCAACCAGUGCAUUCCAAGACUAUGAGGCGCCAUGAAUCCCUGGCUGGCUCACAUGAAGGCAAAUCCCCUUCAGGACCAGAAAGACCAGGUCACUUUGUCCAAAGGUGGUCCAGUUCCAGAUACUCAGGUCUUCUUUAGAUGUCACCUUCUCUUGACCUGCUUUCUCUUGGCCUAGCACCUCUUUCAGUCAUCACUGAUAUCACUUGCUUUCAGAUUCAGAUAUCUAAAGACUCUCCCCUAGGGCACAAUGUCCUGUCUCAUCCAUCUUUAUGAAGAUAGUGCACAGUGGGGGCAGGGGAUACCUGAAAGACCUGGGCUUUCACAUUGUGCAGACCUGGUUGUGAGCUGGGCUCCACUGUGUGCCAGCUGAGAUUGGGUGAUUUGCUGAACUGCUCUGCACUUCAAGUUUCUCAUCUGUUAGCAGGGAUUUAAAAUCUGUUUUGCAAGGAUGUUGUGUGGAGAUGAAAUGUGACAUCUAUGUGAUACAUGCAAACAGUCCCUGGCACAAAAUCAGUGCUUGAUGCCAUGACUCAGAGGCUCUGCCUGGUCCCUUGCCCAAGCUCGUCUAUCCUUCUUUUUAUGUCCCUUAGUAUCUUUCUUAGCUCCUUCCAUAGGAGAUAUCUGGGCCCAUUUUCUGAGCAAGCACCAGCUCCAUCCCACAAUUUCUACCUCCUUCCUCCCCACUUUCCUCCUCACCAUCCAAUUCUGGGUCCGUGGACUUAGUUACAUUCUAGUCAGCUCUCUGCCAGCCCUGAGGGCCUGGCUGGACUCCGGCUGGAUGGGACCCUGUGCCUUGGGUGCAGGGAGGAUCUGGACAGUCUUCCAGCAGCCUCUGCACUGUUGGCCAUGGAGUUGAGGGCAGUGGAUCCCUAUGGUUCGUCUCAGUUGCUGUGCCAUCAAGACUGGGGGAUGGGGUGGGCAGCGAGUAGAUUAGAUCUCAAUAUUCAAGUGUUGUCUGUGGACCAGCAGCACUGGCGGUCACCUUGGAGCUUGUUAGAAAUGAUAAAUCUUGGCCCACUGAAUCAGAAUCUUCAUCUUAACAAGAUUUCCAGUCAUUCCUUCUGAGCCCUGGGUUGACCCCUAGUGGGCAAGUGCCCCUCAAAUCACUACACAGGAGAACUGUUGGCAAGAUGAUUCUUCCCUCCAGGGUCAGCAAAGGUAUCUGCAAAUCCUUCAGUAGGGGUGUAUGUGUUUAAAACACGCACUAAAGUCUAAUUUAUUUAUGCAGGAAUCAUUUUUAAAUUUCUUUUCAGAUUGUUAAAGUAAACCUUUGAAUCCUGACCCAUCUGUGAUGUAAGAUGUGACUGGCCUUGCUUCAUGUAUAGAAGUCACACCCCACAAUAACAAUGUAGGGGAGGGAAGGUAAUAUCUUUUCCUCACCCAUGGAACGAGGGCCUUAUGACCUACUUUAGCUCAGGGAAUUCUUUUAUGGUCUGCUUCAGGUUAGCAGGCCUGUGCCCAUGUCAUUCAGUAAAAUCUCCCUAAACCAUAGCCACUCUGACCCUUUCUCAUUACGGAGACUGAAUCACACACACAUACACACAUACACACACAGGCCAUGACAUGAUGUUUUCCUCCCCCUGAACCUGUGCUUAUAUGUUAUCUCUUCUGCCUGGGAUGUCCUUGCUGUCCUUAGGGUGAAUUUUAGUCAUCCUUUAAGUUUCAUUUAAAGUGUCAGCUCAGUCACAGUGCCCUAUGUAAGAUGGCUGCGUGAUGGUGUUUCUGCUGUUACCACAUUGCAGUCCAGUGUUCUGUUGAUGGUGUGAUCACCUCCUGGAAACAUUGAACUCAGUGAGGGCAAGUUCUGUGUUGUAUUUAAUCAUCUUUGUAUCUCCAAUACCCAGCACAAUGACAGGCACGCUGGAGAUGCCCCAUAGAUGCUUAUUGCAUACGCAGAAAAAAAGCUUAGCUUGCUGUGAUGGCUUUUUGUUUUGUCCUUUGAAGUUUAAUCAGAAUAAAAGAAAAUAACUGCA